ensembl:snoRNA SNORA70 Small nucleolar RNA SNORA70
CUGCAGCCAAUUAAGCCGACUGAGUUCCUUUCCUCAUGGGGGCCCAGUGUGCAAUGGCUGCAAACAGCAGCUUCCCUGGUAGUGAUGCAGCCUGUUUGUUGUAUGGGUUGCUCUAAGGGACCUUGGAGACAGAC